UACGUAGGUGACAAGCGUUGUCCGGAUUUACUGGGCGUAAAGGGUGCGUAGGCGGCGCGGUAAGUCGGGUGUGAAAUCUCGGAGCUUAACUCCGAAACUGCAAUUCGAUACUGCCGUGCUUGAGGACUGGAGAGGAGACUGGAAUUUACGGUGUAGCGGUGAAAUGCGUAGAUAUCGGGAGGAACACCAGUGGCGAAGGCGACUACCUGGCCUGUUCUUGACCGCUGAGGCGCGAAAGCUAGGGGAGCAAACGGG
rnacentral:rRNA from 1 species